CCGACUGCGAGCGCGACUUCCUAUUGGUCACGCGAGAGAUUGGCGUGCCGAGGACCAACCAGAAGCCUCCGCUCUCUCCUUGUAGCCAAUGAGAGGGAGGGGGCGGGCUGCGGCGCCAAGCGUGGGGCUCAGUUAAAUGUGCAGAGGAGGCGGGUCGGAGAGAAUAGUUCUAUUUUAGAAUGCCAAAAAUGAGUGGAGAAAAAAAAGAAAAGAAGGCAGAAAAAAGAAAAAAACUAAAGCAACAUGUGGCCCAAAAGGGAGAGCUGAAAUGGGAAACUGAACCAAAGAAAAA